ACAAUUACCUUAAACUCCAAACGAUCAAAGAAAACCGAAGAACAUUAUUUUUAUCUUUGAAAAGUAUAUUUAAAUAUUUUUAAAACACUUACACAUUUUUCCUGAUGUUAUCAGUCACAUAAAAAUUGUAUAAACAUUUUUUUGGAGGCACUCCGCUGACACAAUUUCCUCGACAAUCAUCAGAAGACUCGAGGCCUGUCAAGAAAGAAACAGGGAAUUGUUGUUGACGUGAUAGCUGGAUGAGAGGCAAAAGUCGAAUGAAAGGUGGUAGUAUACUGGGGGCCCAUCGUCUUUACGUAAAGAAUUCACAGUGUAGGUGAAUCGUCUUGCUAUCACUGGUAAAUAAAACCGGUCACGGACGCUGGACCACAUCAAUCCCCCAUACCUUUACCGUUAAUUCGAUGUCAUGAUUCCAGCUAGAUUGGCUUUGUAACACUGGAGACUGCACAGGGAGAUACCCGUCUUGGAGCAGGAGUACUUUUUGGGGUUUCUGCAUUGUUGAACUGCACAUAAAGGGACUUCGGGCGU